UGCAAAUCGGAUUUGCCUACAUUGAUUCC
rnacentral:piRNA from 1 species